rnacentral:piRNA from 1 species
UCCAACCCGGAAGUCCCGCCUACUCACC